AUUGAACGCUGGCGGCAGGCUUAACACACGCAAGUCGAGCGGGGGAAGGUAGCUUGCUACCGGACCUAGCGGCGGACGGGUGAGUAAUGCUUAGGAAUCUGCCUAUUAGUGGGGGACAACAUCUCGAAAGGGAUGCUAAUACCGCAUACGUCCUACGGGAGAAAGCAGGGGAUCUUCGGACCUUGCGCUAAUAGAUGAGCCUAAGUCGGAUUAGCUAGUUGGUGGGGUAAAGGCCUACCAAGGCGACGAUCUGUAGCGGGUCUGAGAGGAUGAUCCGCCACACUGGGACUGAGACACGGCCCAGACUCCUACGGGAGGCAGCAGUGGGGAAUAUUGGACAAUGGGGGGAACCCUGAUCCAGCCAUGCCGCGUGUGUGAAGAAGGCCUUAUGGUUGUAAUGCACUUUAAGCGAGGAGGAGGCUACUCUAGUUAAUACCUAGGGAUAGUGGACGUUACUCGCAGAAUAAGCACCGGCUAACUCUGUGCCAGCCGCCGCAGUAA
rnacentral:rRNA from 1 species